GACGAACGCUGGCGGCGUGCUUAACACAUGCAAGUCGAACGGAAAGGCCUGCUUUCCCUUGUGGAUUGCGGGUACUCGAGUGGCGAACGGGUGAGUAACACGUGAGUGAUCUGCCCCCAACUUGGGUAUAAGCCUGGGAAACUGGGUCUAAUUCCCGAUAGGACUGCAGGGUGGUGCCUGUGGUGGAAAACGAUUUUCUAGUGGUUGGGGAUGAGCUCGCGGCCUAUCAGCUUGUUGGUGGGGUAAUGGCCUACCAAGGCGGCGACGGGUAGCCGGCCUGGAUGGGUGGCCGCGCACGUGGGACAUGGGAACCGGCCCAGCCCUCCCGGGGGGGCAGCGUGGGGGAAUAUUGCACCAGGGGCGGACGCUUGGGCCCGGGCCGCCGCGGGGGGGAUGCCGGCCUUGGGGUUGUGAACUCCUUUGGACCGGGAGGAGGCCACCUGGUUGGAAGGGGGGGGCGGGUGGUGGUAGAAGAAGCCCCGGCUACCUCCGU
rnacentral:rRNA from 1 species